rnacentral:rRNA from 1 species
AGAUUGAACGCUAGCGGGAUGCUUUACACAUGCAAGUCGAACGGCAGCGCGGACUUCGGUCUGGCGGCGAGUGGCGAACGGGUGAGUAAUAUAUCGGAACGUGCCCAGUAGCGGGGGAUAACUACGCGAAAGCGUGGCUAAUACCGCAUACGCCCUACGGGGGAAAGGGGGGAUCGCAAGACCUCUCACUAUUGGAGCGGCCGAUAUCAGAUUAGCUAGUUGUGAGGUAAAGGCUCACCAAGGCGACGAUCUGUAGCUGGUUUGAGAGGACGACCAGCCACACUGGGACUGAGACACGGCCCAGACUCCUACGGGAGGCAGCAGUGGGGAAUUUUGGACAAUGGGGGAAACCUGAUCCAGCCAUCCCGCGUGUGCGAUGAAGGCCUCGGUGUAAGAC